UCAGCUGCGGCAGCCCAAGCUCCUCUCGGCUUGGCUGCGUGACUUCCUGAGCUGCUGCCUGCAGAGAGACGAGGAGCGGCGCUGGUCUGCCGACGAGCUCCUGCAGCAUCCACUGGUAUCAGCCAAGCCAGCGUCUACCCUGGCAGCACUCAUUAUUUCAGUGAAGAGGAGGAAGGUGAAGCAAACACUGUGAUAAUCACAUCAGGACCAUUUCUUCCAUAACCAGCUAAGAAUAGGACUGAAGAGUAGUUUUGUAGAGUAGGAUUGUAGAGAAGGAUUAUAGAUUAGGAUUGAAAAUAAAGCUUCUGAAACUUUAA